AGAGUUUGAUCCUGGCUCAGGAUGAACGCUAGCUACAGGCUUAACACAUGCAAGUCGAGGGGCAUCGGGAGAAUAGCUUGCUAUUCUUGCCGGCGACCGGCGCACGGGUGAGUAACGCGUAUCCAACCUACCCCAUACAAGAGGAUAGCCCGGCGAAAGUCGGAUUAAUACUCUAUGUAGUACGAUGAAGGCAUCUGAGUUGUAUGAAAGGUUUAUUCCGGUAUGGGCUGGGGAUGCGUCUGAUUAGGUAGUAGGCGGGGUAACGGCCCACCUAGCCAUCGAUCAGUAGGGGUUCUGAGAGGAAGGUCCCCCACAUUGGUACUGAGACACGGACCAAACUCCUACGGGAGGCAGCAGUGAGGAAUAUUGGUCAAUGGGCGCGAGCCUGAACCAGCCAAGUAGCGUGCAGGAAGACUGCCCUAUGGGUUGUAAACUGCUUUUAUGCGGGGAUAAAGUGUGCCACGUGUGGCAUAUUGCAGGUACCGCAUGAAUAAGGACCGGCUAAUUCCGUGCCAGCAGCCGCGGUAAUACGGAAGGUCCGGGCGUUAUCCGGAUUUAUUGGGUUUAAAGGGAGCGCAGGCCGUUGGUUAAGCGUGCCGUGAAAUGUACCGGCUCAACCGGUGAGUUGCGGCGCGAACUGUCCGACUUGAGUGCGUACGAGGGUGGCGGAAUUCGUGGUGUAGCGGUGAAAUGCUUAGAUAUCACGAAGACCUCCGAUUGCGAAGGCAGCUGCCCAGUCCGUAACUGACGCUAAUGCUCGAAGGUGCGGGUAUCGAACAGGAUUAGAUACCCUGGUAGUCCGCACGGUAAACGAUGGAUGCCCGCUGUUGGCGAUACAAUGUCAGCGGCCAAGCGAAAGCGUUAAGCAUCCCACCUGGGGAGUACGCCGGCAACGGUGAAACUCAAAGGAAUUGACGGGGGCCCGCACAAGCGGAGGAACAUGUGGUUUAAUUCGAUGAUACGCGAGGAACCUUACCCGGGCUUGAACUGCAGGUGAACGAUACAGAGAUGUUGAGGUCUUCGGACACCUGUGGAGGUGCUGCAUGGUUGUCGUCGAGCUCGUGCC
rnacentral:rRNA from 1 species